rnacentral:tRNA from 1 species
GGGGUUGUGGCUCAGAGGUAGAGAGCACACCUAGCAUGUGUGAGGCACUGGGUUUAAUCCUCAGCACCACA